AUUUUUACUGUGUCAAUUUAAAGCUACUAUUUACUCAAUAACAGGUUGCAAAAUUUCAAAAAAUUAACUACUGGCUUUUGCAAAGUGGGCUCCAGUAUACCACUGCCUGGGAAUAAGCAAGAUAUUUCAAGGAAGAUGAUAUGGAAAACAGAAUGAGGAAAAUACAGAAAGAGCUAUUCUGCCAAGAUGAAAAAAGCGCAUCCUUAUUGAUAUGGAUAUUAUUUCAUCAGAAGAAUGCAGAGAAGCAAGUGAUCCACCAGUAAAGGUAGAGAGGUUUCAAGUUAAAAUGGUGUAAACCAAUCUGUACCUAAGGCUAUCAUCCUUAAAAUAAAUUAUUACAGAC
rnacentral:lncRNA from 1 species